rnacentral:rRNA from 1 species
AUAUUGGACAAUGGGGGGAAGCCUGAUCCAGCCAUGCCGCGUGUGUGAAGAAGGUCUUCGGAUUGUAAAGCACUUUAAGUUGGGAGGACGGGCAGUAAGUUAAUACCUUGCUGUUUUGACGUUACCGACAGAAUAAGCACCGGCUAACUGUGUGCCAGCAGCCGCGGUAAUACAGAGGGUGCAAGCGUUAAUCGGAAUUACUGGGCGUAAAGCGCGCGUAGGUGGUUCGUUAAGGUGGAUGUGAGAGCCCCGGGCUCAACCUGGGAACUGCAUCCAAAACUGGCGAGCUAGAGUAUGGUAGAGGGUGGUGGAAUUUCCUGUGUAGCGGUGAAAUGCGUAGAUAUAGGAAGGAACACCAGUGGCGAAGGCGACCACCUGGACUGAUACUGACACUGAGGUGCGAAAGCGUGGGGAGCAAAC